AGUGUGCCUUUUCCUUCUUGACUUUUUAGUAGUUUGGGAUAAAUAUUGAUUUGCCCCCAGUUUACCUUCUUCCUGACUGGCCAUUUGAAGACUAAGGGACCAGCCUCUGAAGGGACUUGAUUUUCACGUUACUUCCCAGCCCUUCCACCGCCCCCCUUCCUCUCUCUAAGUGGCAUUGUAAAACUCACGGUGACAAAGAGACAGAGUAGGGUUCGAGGCCCCAGUUCCUGGGGACUUGAAGGCGGUUUUACAUACGGGUCAGACACGGCUGGAGGCCAAGGUCAAGUUGAAAGUCGCAGUCUAGCCAGCGUGAGAACUGCCAGGCAAGCCUGGAGACCCAGCCGGCUGCAAAAGACCCACCGCCCACCUCCCCUCA
rnacentral:lncRNA from 1 species